rnacentral:rRNA from 1 species
UAAAAGUCGUAACAAGGUCUCCGUUGGUGAACCAGCGGAGGGAUCAUUACCGAGUUUUCAACUCCCUAACCCUUCUGUGAACCUACCUAUCGUUGCUUCGGCGGACUCGCCCCAGCCCGGACGCGGACUGGACCAGCGGCCCGCCGGGGACCUCAAACUCUUGUAUUCCAGCAUCUUCUGAAUACGCCGCAAGGCAAAACAAAUGAAUCAAAACUUUCAACAACGGAUCUCUUGGCUCUGGCAUCGAUGAAGAACGCAGCGAAACGCGAUAAGUAAUGUGAAUUGCAGAAUCCAGUGAAUCAUCGAAUCUUUGAACGCACAUUGCGCCCGCCAGCAUUCUGGCGGGCAUGCCUGUUCGAGCGUCAUUUCAACCCUCGACCCCCCCUUGGGGAGGUCGGCGUUGGGGACCGGCAGCACACCGCCGGCCCUGAAAUGGAGUGGCGGCCCGUCCGCGGCGACCUCUGCGUAGUAAUACAGCUCGCACCGGAACCCCGACGCGGCCACGCCGUAAAACACCCAACUUCUGAACGUUGACCUCGAAUCAGGUAGGACUACCCGCUGAACUUAAGCAUAU